CCCAAACCCAGCUCCGCUUUUGAUCCGAAGGGCGGCUUGUCGUCAAGAAGGACAAGACACAAAAAGUUACAACUUCUUAAAACUCUUCAAAGGAAAAAAUAUAUAAUUCUGUAAGCAGCA